AGCAGGCUGGACAGCCGCGUGGGCAGCGCCGAAAGGCCGUCCAUGAGGAAAGUCCGGGCUCCACAGGGCAAGGAUAACGGAUAACAUCCGCCGGAGGCGACUCUAGGAAAAGUGCAACAGAAAUAUACCGCCUUGCGGCGCUUUCGCGCCACAAGGUAAGGAUGGAAAGGCGAGGUAAGAGCUCACCCGAUGGCUGGUCAAACUGCCCAUCGCUGUAAACUCUAUCCGGAGCAACACCGUGGAGGGACACACAGGCCGGCCCGGCCGUCCCGAGGAGGUGGCUGGAACGCGCUGGCGACGGCGCGUCUAGAUAGAUGGCUGUCUUCAAUGACAGAACCCGGCUUACAGGCUUACUUG
rnacentral:RNase_P_RNA from 1 species